ensembl:lncRNA
CGAUGAGAUAACUGCUACUGUGCGAAGUGACUAUUCUAUUCUUCAGCUGGCCCAGUCAUUUUUUAAUAAACAUGCACAGGAUCCCACCAAAUAUGACUAUAUUCGCCAGACACUCAGAGAAAGUGGAAGACUUCUGCUUACGCUUCGCAAGGAAUUCUCAAUACAAACUCUUGAAGAUGCUGUGAGACCAGCAAAUUUUGAUGUGGUGAUCAAAGCUGUUAAGAAAGUGUCUGGGUACGAUGACGAAAAGCACUGCUACCGUACUCCAAGCCUUGCAUUAAAGUUGGGUCACUCACUCCAGAAAGUCAGUGACAUUUUUACAUUGUAGAGCACUGAUGGCAGAAGACAGUAACCUGAUAAAGUCAACCCAGAGUUUUUAAAACCCUCUAUGCUACAAAGUGGUCAGAACUCAUCUCCCACACUGCUUUAACUACGCUAAAUGAGCGCCACUUUAACAAGCCUUCCACUCUUCCUUUUACGAAAGAUGUUCAGUGUCUUCAUAGACAUCUGGAGAAGUCUACAGAACAAGCAUUGAAGGACUUGGAUGACCAUAGUUCACCAAAAUCAUAUAGUGAACUUUGUAAAGCCACCAUGGCAAAUGUAAUACUUUUUUUAAUAGGAGAAGAGGGGGAGAAGUUUCAAAGAUGACGCUGAAUGGUUUUCUGGAGAGAGACACAAGUGCCCUGCACAAGGAUGUCGCUUUUGGACUGACACAAUUUGAACUUCAUCUUUGUCAACACUUCAGUCGUGUUGAAUUAAAGGGGUAAAAAGAGGCCGGAAAGUUGCAGUGUUACUUUCACCAGACAUGGUGAUGGCAAUAACACGCCUAAUAGAGAAAAGAAAAGACUGUGGUGUUCUGGCAGAAAACCUGUUCCUGUUUGCCAGGCCUCAUUGUCUGACUCCCUACAGAGGACAGGACUGUUUGAGGCUCUAUGCGAGUGAAUGUGGGGCUGAAAACCCUGAGCUCCUCAGGUCCACGCUAUUACGGAAACAUGUCGCAACUUUGUCACAGAUCUUGAAUCUCAAGAAUCAUGAGUUAGACCAAGUUGCUGACUUUCUUGGGCAUGAUAUUCGCGUUCAUCGUGAAUUUUACCGACUUCAGAGGCUACUACCCAGCUGGCCAAAAUCUCCAAAUUACUGCUUGCCAUGGAGAAAGGUUCUCUCAGAAACCUUCAAGGCAAAACACUUGAGGAGAUUGAAAUUGAAGAUCACCUACAGUUGACCGAAUCAAGUGCAGAGAGUGAGGUUGAUGCAGAAAGUGAGGUCGAUGAAGGAAAUCUCACAUAUCCACAGACUGGUAAGUACAGUGUGAUUUUUCUUGAAUUUGUUUUUAUGAAAUCACAUGACACAUGUUAAACU